GCGCUUCGCCUCGGGCGGCUGAGGCAUACCUGAGGGCCCGAAGACCCCCUCUUGUUUCGCCUCUGCGGCGCCAAAGGUCGCGACCACACCUCUUUUCAACGCCACAGUGGUCUCCGCAGGCUAUUCUGUCUUCGCACACCUGACACGAUGUGACCCUCUGCCUGGAGCUGGAACCAUGGUGCUGCGUUUGGCAACUCAUUUUCACCUCACCUUUCCUGAUCUGUAGAGAUGGAGUUUCUCCAUGUUGGUCAGGCCAGUCUCAAACACCCAACCUCAGGUGAUCCGCCUGCCACGGCCUCCCAAAGUGCUGGCGUCACAGGUGUGAGCCACCGCGCCUUGCCUCAGUUGUGAAACAAACAAAGAGUUGAGAUGGAGAAUCCAAAUGGAAGCCCUGGUUUAAAUAGAACGGACUGGGAAGACCUCUCUGAAGGGAUACCAACCAUCUGGCCCUAAAACAAAUCUCAUCAGUUUAUGAACCAAGCAGCCCAAUCAGAGUGCCUAAUUCUCCCUACCACACAAUUGGUCAAGGAGGAAGCAAGUGACAUAAUCUAAAUUCUUUCCAAAGAUGGAUGCAAAUGCUAGGAAAGCAAGAGUUGAAUUGCUAGCCAUGAGGAAAACGUAAGCCUGAGCUGUUUGCUGGUCAUCUUUGCUUCCAUAUGGAGACAGCCUGCGUGGAAAGGAAGCCACACAGAGAAAACAGAAGAGCAGUGAAGAGAAAGGUAAAAGGAGAGAUCCCAUGACAUGAUUUGCACUCUUAGAUCCAGUUAUGCCUGAAGCAGGACCCACCCCUUGGACUUCCCAUUUCCAGGAGCCUAUGCAUUCUCUGUUGCUAAAACUAGAUUGAGUUGAGUUUCUAUCACCUACAAGUUGACAGAAAAUAUCAACAAUCCAGCCACAUGGAGCCUCAAGGCAGUACCACUAACCCUGGUCACCACACAAAUACUGACCAGAGGCUUUUCACCUGAAUCAACUGUUUGUGUUCUUCACUCGGUCUCCUCACCUGCUUCCUGGAAGACCUAGCUGACACAGAUGGUUACAAGAAAUGAUUUCCUCCCUAUAAAACUUUAGAUGACAAUGUGAUCGUUCACAAGCACAUUGAAAAAUUCACACCAUGGAAAAGAACUAAAGUCCCAUCCUAAUUCAUCAGAGCCUUCUGUUUCCUGUAACAAAGAAGAACUCACAAGAUCGGGAUUCCAAGAUGCCCAAAUUUUUGGAAUUGGAAAGAGCCCAAGUCUUCCAUAUCAGGGGGUGGGCCCCACUGGGUGUGAGCCAAUCAGCGUCUUCUGUCCUGUGAGCUCCUGAUUUACGCUGGUCUAUAACCUGAGAUGGCCUCCUCAGGAUGGACCCCCAGGGAUUGCUGGAACUUGGACUCUUGUCAGCCUGGUAAAUGGUAUGUCUUAGAUCUGCUGCAGCCGUCGUGGAAAGCUUGAAGCUGCCAGGAGAGAGGGGUUCCAACAUGUGGUGGCUAAAGAAUGAAUCCAACUCAGAGGAAGCAGAGCCAAGAAAUGGAUCCAUGCCGUUUGAAUCUUGGAUCAAAUUGUGCCUGGAUCUCCAGUGAGACAAUAAAUUCCUGUAUUACUCA
ensembl:lncRNA